CGGGCCGUGUAGCCCCAGGUCGCGUCCGCCUCGAUCAGGACCUCGUCACCGAAGUACUCGCCGCUGCUGAGGAUUCCCAGUGACCGCUCGUCGUCGUAGGCUCCGGGCCCGAACCUGCCGACCUUCCCGUGCGCGAUGAGGAAGACGGCGUCCGCGGCGUCUCCACUGGUGACAAGGACGUCGCCCGCGGAGUACUCCCUCUGGACGAAGCCGUCGGCGAGCGCGGCGAGUUCGUCGCCCUCGAAACCCCGCAGCGGGGGGAGCUCGGUGAGCUCCGCGGGGACGACCUGGAUCUGCGAGCCGGUGCUGGUGAAGGUGAGCAGGCCGUCGCCGGCGAUGUAGGUGAGGCGCCGGUUCACCCGGUACACGCCACCGGCCGUGUGCACCCAGGGCAGGAUCCGCAGCAGCCAGCGGGAGGAGAUCUCCUGCAUCUGCGGGACGGACUUGGUCGUGGUCGCGAGAUUUCGCGCCGCGGCGGAGCCAAGACUCAACGGCUGUUCGG
rnacentral:antisense_RNA from 1 species